UACGUAGGUGGCGAGCGUUGUCCGGAUUUACUGGGCGUAAAGAGCGCGCAGGCGGUCGUAUAAGUCGAAUGUGAAAGCCCCGGGCUCAACCUGGGAACUGCGGUUGAAACUGGCGAACUAGAAUCUGGCAGAGGGGGGUGGAAUUCCACGUGUAGCAGUGAAAUGCGUAGAGAUGUGGAGGAACACCGAUGGCGAAGGCAGUCCCCUGGGCCUGUACUGACGCUCAUGCACGAAAGCGUGGGGAGCAAACAGG
rnacentral:rRNA from 1 species